rnacentral:rRNA from 1 species
UACAGAGGGGGCUAGCGUUGUUCGGAAUUACUGGGCGUAAAGGGCGCGUAGGCGGCCCGCUAAGUCGAACGUGAAAUCCCCGGGCUCAACCCGGGAACUGCGUCCGAUACUGGCAGGCUUGAAUCCGGGAGAGGGAUGUGGAAUUCCAGGUGUAGCGGUGAAAUGCGUAGAUAUCUGGAGGAACACCGGUGGCGAAGGCGGCAUCCUGGACCAACACUGACGCUGAGGAGCGAAAGCCAGGGGAGCAAACGGG